rnacentral:lncRNA from 1 species
CUUGAGAAUUUAUCAAAUACCAACCCUCAUGGUAUUUAUUUUAUCUUCUUUUUUCGAAAAAUAAAUAUGGGAUCUAUCCAGUUUUUUACCAUCUCUCUCUUCCAUUUUUCAUACUAAACAUCGUAAUCUAAUAUGGGAUUCAUAUUUUGAUAUCAAAUUACCUCUGGCCCCAUGGACAUUGAAGCUCUAACUUAAUCAACAAUCCGUGUCUACCAGAAAUUUNNNNNNNNNNNNNNNNNNNNCAUCGUAAUCUAAUAUGGGAUUCAUAUUUUGAUAUCAAAUUACCUCUGGCCCCAUGGACAUUGAAGCUCUAACUUAAUCAACAAUCCGUGUCUACCAGAAAUUUAAAAAAAAAAAAAGAUUGGACGUUCCUGCUUUCUGAAUAUAAGCUCUGCGCUCCCCAAUCAGAGCAGGGAACAGGAUAGCGACAACACAUGGAAAUGGAGAAUAUAUCCGACAAGGCCUUCGACUUCAUGAUGCAUGUAAAGACAUAUACUUUAUGAUCCAUAGCUACAUUCUAAUAAGUCGGCUAGUAAAAGGCAAAG